UCUAAGUCUGGUCUGAGUCCAUAUGCCUGAGAACCAGGAGAGAUGGUGUCCAAGAGAAGAGGAAGAAGGAUGUCCCAACUCAAGCGGAGAGAGAAAAAUUCCUGGCCUUUCACCUGUCUCCAUGACUUGUUGCUUCUUACAUUUUUGGACACUAUGUUGUGCACGUCUGAAGAAAAACAUACAUAAAAAUAACACAGUCUUUACUGCUAUUAAACUGUUCUCUUAGAACUUCUUUUACUAC